rnacentral:rRNA from 1 species
UGCCAGCAGCCGCGGUAAUACGGAGGGGGUUAGCGUUGUUCGGAAUUACUGGGCGUAAAGAGCACGUAGGCGGGUUUAUCAGUCGGUUGUGAAAGCCCCCGGCCUAACCGGGGAACUGCAGCCGAAACUGUAAGCCUUGAGGACAAGAGGGGAGAGCGGAACUUCUGGUGGAGCGGUGAAAUGCGUAGAUAUCAGAAGGAACAUCGGUGGCGAAAGCGGCUCUCUGGCUUGUCUCUGACGCUGAGGUGCGAAAGCCAGGGUAGCGAACGGGAUUAGAUA